CCGGCGCACGGGUGAGUAACACGUAUGCAACCUGGCCGUCACAGGUGGAUAACCGGAAGAAAUUCCGACUAAUACAGCAUAACACUCCUGAGGGACAUCCUUCGGGAGUCAAAGGAGGCAACUCCGGUGACGGAUGGGCAUGCGGCGCAUUAGGUAGUUGGUAGGGUAACGGCCUACCAAGCCGACGAUGCGUAGGGGUUCUGAGAGGAAGGUCCCCCACAUUGGAACUGAGACACGGCCCAGACUCCUACGGGAGGCAGCAG
rnacentral:rRNA from 1 species